rnacentral:rRNA from 1 species
GAUUAAGUUAUUAAGGGCGCACGGUGGAUGCCUUGGCACUAGAAGCCGAUGAAGGACGUUACUAACGACGAUAUGCUUUGGGGAGCUGUAAGUAAGCUUUGAUCCAGAGAUUUCCGAAUGGGGAAACCCAGCAUGAGUUAUGUCAUGUUAUCGAUAUGUGAAUACAUAGCAUAUCAGAAGGCACACCCGGAGAACUGAAACAUCUUAGUACCCGGAGGAAGAGAAAGAAAAUUCGAUUCCCUUAGUAGCGGCGAGCGAAACGGGAAGAGCCCAAACCAACAAGCUUGCUUGUUGGGGUUGUAGGACACUCUAUACGGAGUUACAAAGGACGACAUUAGACGAAUCAUCUGGAAAGAUGAAUCAAAGAAGGUAAUAAUCCUGUAGUCGAAAAUGUUGUCUCUCUUGAGUGGAUCCUGAGUACGACGGAGCACGUGAAAUUCCGUCGGAAUCUGGGAGGACCAUCUCCUAAGGCUAAAUACUCUCUAGUGACCGAUAGUGAACCAGUACCGUGAGGGAAAGGUGAAAAGCACCCCGGAAGGGGAGUGAAAUAGAACCUGAAACCGUGUGCUUACAAGUAGUCAGAGCCCGUUAAUGGGUGAUGGCGUGCCUUUUGUAGAAUGAACCGGCGAGUUACGAUUUGAUGCAAGGUUAAGCAGUAAAUGUGGAGCCGUAGCGAAAGCGAGUCUGAAUAGGGCGUUUAGUAUUUGGUCGUAGACCCGAAACCAGGUGAUCUACCCUUGGUCAGGUUGAAGUUCAGGUAACACUGAAUGGAGGACCGAACCGACUUACGUU